CCUCCGAUAGCUCAGUUGGAACAGCGCAACACUGUAAUGGGAUCUUUUGUGAUCUUGAGGCCGCUAGUUCGAUCCUGGCUCGGAGGA